CAUCAGACACUACCAGAGAUAUACAAAUCAAACCCACAAUGAGAUACCACCUCACACCCGUCAGAAUGCCUGAAGUUAACAAUUCAGGAAAUGACAGAAGUUGGCAAGGAUGUGGAGGAAGGGGAACCCUCUUACCCUGUUGGUGGGAACGCAAACUGGUGCAGCCACUCUGGAAAACGGUGUGGAGGUUCCUCGG